GCCUCUAGCUAUUAAUAUUAGAGGUCCAUUCUGCCCUAUGCCCUACGGGGUAAAUGGCCGCGGUAGCCUGACCGUGCUAAGGUAGCAUAAUCAUUUGCCGUUUAAUUGAUGGCUGGAAUGAAUGAAUAUACGAGAGCUCAACUGUCUCAUUUUUACAAAUAUAAAUUGACCCUCAAGUGAAGAGACUUGAAUUCUUAAAAAAGACGAAAAGACCCUAUAGAGCUUUACCUGAAAUCUAUAUCAUAUAUAAUAAAGGUUUAGUUGGGGCAACUAGAGAGCACCUAAAACCUCUCUUCAAAUUUUCUAAUAACGAUCCGUUUUUACGAUAAGUAGAAAAAGCUACCUUAGGGAUAACAGGCUAAUCCUCUUUAAGAGACCAUAUUGACAAGAGGGGUUGGCACCUCGAUGUUGGCUCAAGGUUACAGUUUGAUGCAGCAGUCAAACAAAGUAGGUUUGUUCACCCUUUAAAUCCUU
rnacentral:rRNA from 1 species